AGAGUUCAGGCGUAAGAAAGCUGCAAUAUCUUACUAUUGGAUGUUUCAUUCAGCCACUGUCCAAUCCUGUUGCUGGUAGAAUCCUCUAUUACGAUUCAGAU